rnacentral:rRNA from 1 species
GGCUUCAUGGCUUUCUUUUGAAAGGCGGCUUCGGCUGUCACUGCAGGAUGGGCCCGCGGCGCAUUAGCUAGUUGGUGAGGUAACGGCUCACCAAGGCGACGAUGCGUAGCCGACCUGAGAGGGUGAUCGGCCACACUGGGACUGAGACACGGUCCAGACUCCUACGGGAGGCAGCAGUAGGGAAUCUUCCGCAAUGGACGAAAGUCUGACGGAGCAACGCCGCGUGAGUGAAGAAGGUUU